CACUGCUCUAAGCCACUUGGAAACCUGGAAUGCAGAACAUAAAUGUGUUUGGAAUCCGUUUUGUAAGUAUUUCUGCAGUUAAACUAUUUGUUCAAGAGACUAGAAAUGUCUUACAUCAUUAUUUACUGCUAAUAUAUGCGUGGCCAGUGGGAGAAAGGAAAUACCCCUUUGUUGAUAUAAGAGGACACAGGAGGAGCAACCAGGGGCAUUAGGGAGAUCCAUGUGAGUUCAUUUUUCCACUCAGUUAUCCAUUCAGCUCAUAUUCACUGAACAGCCGCCAUGUGCCAGGAAUUGUUGUAGGUUCUGGGGACGCAGAAAAGAACAAGGCAGCAAGGUCCUCAAUCAUGUGGAGCUUAUAGUCUCUCAUGGGGUAUACUCUUUGAUGAAACUCUUCCUUGCUCCAGUGCACUAAAGCCUUCAGGACUCUGACAGUAGUUGGAAUAGUUCACAAGCCAAAAAAACCAGAGAUUUUUAUCUCCAGGACAGUUGCAGAAUUCUCCAAUUUUUUUUAAAGUGUGUAUUUUUUUCAUUGAGUACAGUCUAAUAAAAGGCUU
rnacentral:lncRNA from 1 species